AUGCUGAAUUCUGAAAUAAUUUGUGCUUGAUUCCAGUGGCAGCUUGUUGUCUGGGAAUGACAUUUUCAGGUAUAGCUUUCAUUGCAGGCUCUCAUCUCUUGCCACCUGCCUAAAUCUGACAGUUGAGCACCAGCUGGGAGUUAUGACCCGGAGAAGCAUAAAAGGGCUGGAGAGAGACAAAAUGAUCCAUCAAGUCCUACUUGUUUUCAGCAAUUGUGUGAAAAUCAGCUCAGAACUUCUGUUUGUUUGUUCCUGUGGAUGCUCUCAGUGUUUGGAGACCAGGGCCUCCAUGGAGAGGGAGGGGAAUGCCAAAGCAGCGAAGGCUUGUAAUUUAACCCACUGGCAUGUAUAAGAUCCAAAGAGCAGGAAAAACUUUCUUCCUUUCAGCAAUGCAUAGAAAAUAAGCUGCCUUUUAGAAGACAAAAUUGUAGUUUAAUGAAGUCAUGGGUGGAAGUUACUGUCUGGAUCUUGCUACGCUUGCAGAAGAGCACUGUGGCACAUCUUGUGGACCGCAAGACUGGGAAGGAAGAGGUGAUAGCAGUGACAGUGUAUGUAACAAGCUGAGAGAAGGGGCCCUACCAGUGAUGAUGGAUAUAGACACUCAGACCACAUGCUCCACCAGG